rnacentral:rRNA from 1 species
UACGGAGGGUGCGAGCGUUGUCCGGAAUCAUUGGGCGUAAAGGGCGCGUAGGCGGCCAACUAAGUCAGACGUGAAAUCCCUCGGCUUAACCGGGGAACUGCGUCUGAUACUGGAUGGCUUGAAUCCGGGAGAGGGAUGCGGAAUUCCAGGUGUAGCGGUGAAAUGCGUAGAGAUCGGCAGGAACACCCAGGGGGAAACCAGUCGACUGGGCAUCUACUGACGCUGAGGUGCGAGAGCGUGGGGAGCGAACCGG